rnacentral:tRNA from 9 species
UCCGGGGUAGCUCAAUGGCAGAGCAAGCGCCUGUUAAGCGCAAGGUUGCGAGUUCGAAUCUCGCCUCCGGAG